GCUGGGCACAGUGGCGCGUGCCUGUAAUCCCAGCUACUCAGGAGGCUGAGGCAGGAGAAUUGCCUGAACCCAGGAGGCGGAGGUUGCGGUGAGCCGAGAUCGCGCCAUUGCACUCCAGCCUGGGUAAUGAGAGCGAAACUCCGUCUCAAAAAAAAAAAAAUUUUUUUUUUCUUGAGACAGAGUCUCAUUCUGUCACCCAGGCUGGAGUGCAGUGGUGUGAUUUCUAUUUACUGCAACCUUCAUCUCCUGGGUUCAAAUGAUUCUCCUGUCUCAG
rnacentral:sRNA from 13 species